rfam:Triticum aestivum genome assembly, contig: Triticum_aestivum_CS42_TGACv1_scaffold_306373_4AS
AGUGGAGUAGAGUAGUUUGGUAGCUCACGAGGCUCAUAACCUUGAGGUCACGGGUUCGAUUCUCGUCUCCGCAC